rnacentral:rRNA from 1 species
GACGAACACUGGCGGCGUGCCUAAUACAUGCAAGUAGAACGCUGAAGGAGGAGCUUGCUUCUCUGGAUGAGUUGCGAACGGGUGAGUAACGCGUAGGUAACCUGCCUGGUAGCGGGGGAUAACUAUUGGAAACGAUAGCUAAUACCGCAUAAUAGUAGAUGUUGCAUGACAUUUGCUUAAAAGGUGCAAUUGCAUCACUACCAGAUGGGCCUGCGUUGUAUUAGCUAGUUGGUGGGGUAACGGCUCACCAAGGCGACGAUACAUAGCCGACCUGAGAGGGUGGUCGGCCACACGGGGACUGGGACACGGCCCAGACUCCUACGGGAGGCAGCAGUAGGGAAUCUUCGGCAAUGGACGGAAGUCUGACCGAGCAACGCCGCGUGAGUGAAAAAGGUUUUCGGAUCGUAAAGCUCUGUUGUAAGAGAAGAACGGGUGUGGGAGUGGAAAGUUCCCACUGGGGCGGUUUUUUACCAAAAAGGGACGGCUAACUACGU